rnacentral:rRNA from 1 species
GAUGAACGCUGGCGGCGUGCUUAACACAUGCACGUCGAACGAAGUGGUGAACGGGUGAGUAACGCGUAAUCAACCUGCCCUUCAGAGGGGGACAACAGUUGGAAACGACUGCUAAUACCGCCUACUGAAGGAGGGGCUUGCGUCUGAUUAGCUAGUUGGAGGGGUACCGGCCUACCAAGGCGAUGAUCCGGAGCCUGUCGGAGAGGAGUAACAGACACAUGUGGACUGAGACACGGCCGAGAGUCCGACGGGAUGCAGGAGUGGGGAAGCUUCCGAAAUGGACGAAAGUCGGACUGAGCAACGCCGCGUGAGUGAUGACGGCCUUCGGGUUGGAGAGCUCUGUUAAUCGGGACGCGGUAACGGAAAAGAGAGCCACGGCUAACUACGAGGCAGCAGCCGCGGUAAUUG